rnacentral:rRNA from 1 species
CGGGUGAGUAAUGUCUGGGAAACUGCCUGAUGGAGGGGGAUAACUACUGGAAACGGUAGCUAAUACCGCAUAACGUCGCAAGACCAAAGUGGGGGACCUUCGGGCCUCAUGCCAUCAGAUGUGCCCAGAUGGGGUUAGCUAGUAGGUGGGGUAACGGCUCACCUAGGCGACGAUCCCUAGCUGGUCUGAGAGGAUGACCAGCCACACUGGAACUGAGACACGGUCCAG